rnacentral:snRNA from 1 species
AUCUCUACGAAUUUAGGAGACAUCCGAUAAAAUUGAAACGAUACAGAGAAACGUGGGUGAGUCGUUCCCGCAAGAUGGGAUAGACUAUUGACAAAUGACAAUGCUAUAU